CUCUUGUCCACCUGCGACUUGAGGAUGGUCUCCUCGGCGAUGCGCUGCUUCAGCACCUCCAUCUGCUCCCGCUGCCUUUCGCGCUUCUUGAGGAGGUGCAUGGCACGGCCUGCCUCGCGCAUGGUGCCCUUGUACUGCGCCAUGGCCCGCGCCUACCCGAUGGGCUCUGCAGCAAAGAGGAAAAACGCGGCAGGAGAUCUGGUAACACUCGCCGAAACCAGUGCUUCCUGGGACCUAGUUUGGAAAAGCUGGUUGUGAAAUACAUACUGCGGUUCAGCCUCCUCCCGCCUAAGAGCAACAAUGCCUGUGAGCAUAACCUUACCAAGAAGCGUGAAUCAUAUGAUAAUUACAUAUGGCACCCACAUAUCCAGAGGAGAACAGCACGGUGUGAGCCCUCAUCAAAUUGUCCAAGCCAGAAACCUAGGCCUUUUCCUGGAAUGACGUUCCUCCACAGGUAAUCAAUUACAGAAGAGCCUUUCACACUUUCCUUUUUCUCCCAUUCCCCACCACUUGCCUUAAUCUAGGAAAUUAGCAUUUUUUUUAAUCUAAAGCCUUCUCAUUGUUGCCCCAUCACCAGAAUACAAGAAUAUCUUAUUUUAUUGAGCUCUGGGAUACUGUGUGUUUUGUUUUUGUUUUUACAAAUUGAAGAUUUGUGGCAACACAGCGUCAAGCGCCUACUGGCUCCAUUUUUCCAGCAGCAUGUGCUCACUUCGUGUUCCUGUGUCACAUUUUGGUAAUUCUUGCAAUAUUUCAGACUUUUUCAUUGUGAUAUCUGCUAUGGUGAUCUGUGAUCAUCGUUCUGUGAGGUUAUUGUAAUUGUUUGGGGGCACUCCGAAGUGUGCAGUAGAAGACAAAGACGUUUAUUGAUUUAACUGAUAAAUGUUAUGUAUGUUCUGACUGC
rnacentral:lncRNA from 1 species